ensembl:miRNA sha-mir-101 sha-mir-101
GUGGAGCAAGGCUCCGGAUGCCUCGGCCUUUGUGCGGAUGUGAUCACUGACGGGCUGCCCUGGCUCAGUUAUCACAGUGCUGAUGCUGUCCGUUCUCAAGGUACAGUACUGUGAUAACUGAAGGAUGGCAGCCAUCUUGCCACCGGUCAC